rnacentral:rRNA from 1 species
UACGUAGGUGGCAAGCGUUGUCCGGAAUCAUUGGGCGUAAAGCGCGUGUAGGCGGCCCGAUAAGUCCGCUGUGAAAGUCCAGGGCUCAACCCUGGGAUGCCGGUGGAUACUGUCGGGCUCGAGUCCGGAAGAGGCGAGUGGAAUUCCUGGUGUAGCGGUGAAAUGCGCAGAUAUCAGGAGGAACACCAAUGGCGAAGGCAGGUCGCUGGGAAGUGACUGACGCUGAGACGCGAAAGCGUGGGGAGCAAACAGG